GGAAACGACUGCUAAUACCGGAUGAGCCGCAAGGUAAAAGAUUUAUUGCUUAAGGAUGAGUUCGCGUCUGAUUAGCUAGUUGGUAGAGUAAGAGCCUACCAAGGCAACGAUCAGUAGCUGGUCUGAGAGGAUGAGCAGCCACACUGGGACUGAGACACGGCCCAGACUCCUACGGGAGGCAGCAGUGGGGAAUUUUCCGCAAUGGGCGAAAGCCUGACGGAGCAAGACCGCGUGAGGGAGGAAGGCCUUUGGGUUGUAAACCUCUUUUCUCAAGGAAGAAGCAAGUGACGGUACUUGAGGAAGAAGCCUCGGCUAACUCCGUGCCAGCAGCCGCGGUAAUACGGAGGAGGCAAGCGUUAUCCGGAAUUAUUGGGCGUAAAGCGUCCGUAGGUGGCUUUUCAAGUCUGCUGUCAAAGACCGAGGCUUAACUUCGGAAAGGCAGUGGAAACGGGGAAGCUAGAGGACAGUAGGGGUAGCAGGAAUUCCCAGUGUAGCGGUGAAAUGCGUAGAGAUUGGGAAGAACAUCGGUGGCGAAAGCGUGCUACUGGGCUGAACCUGACACUGAGGGACGAAAGCUAGGGGAGCGAAAGGGAUUAGAUACCC
rnacentral:rRNA from 1 species